UUAAAUUGAAGAGUUUGAUCAUGGCUCAGAUUGAACGCUGGCGGCAGGCCUAACACAUGCAAGUCGAACGGUAACAGGAAGCAGCUUGCUGCUUUGCUGACGAGUGGCGGACGGGUGAGUAAUGUCUGGGAAACUGCCUGAUGGAGGGGGAUAACUACUGGAAACGGUGGCUAAUACCGCAUAACGUCGCAAGACCAAAGAGGGGGACCUUCGGGCCUCUUGCCAUCAGAUGUGCCCAGAUGGGAUUAGCUAGUUGGUGAGGUAACGGCUCACCAAGGCGACGAUCCCUAGCUGGUCUGAGAGGAUGACCAGCCACACUGGAACUGAGACACGGUCCAGACUCCUACGGGAGGCAGCAGUGGGGAAUAUUGCACAAUGGGCGCAAGCCUGAUGCAGCCAUGCCGCGUGUAUGAAGAAGGCCUUCGGGUUGUAAAGUACUUUCAGCGGGGAGGAAGGUGUUGUGGUUAAUAACCACAGCAAUUGACGUUACCCGCAGAAGAAGCACCGGCUAACUCCGUGCCAGCAGCCGCGGUAAUACGGAGGGUGCAAGCGUUAAUCGGAAUUACUGGGCGUAAAGCGCACGCAGGCGGUCUGUCAAGUCGGAUGUGAAAUCCCCGGGCUCAACCUGGGAACUGCAUUCGAAACUGGCAGGCUUGAGUCUUGUAGAGGGGGGUAGAAUUCCAGGUGUAGCGGUGAAAUGCGUAGAGAUCUGGAGGAAUACCGGUGGCGAAGGCGGCCCCCUGGACAAAGACUGACGCUCAGGUGCGAAAGCGUGGGGAGCAAACAGGAUUAGAUACCCUGGUAGUCCACGCCGUAAACGAUGUCUACUUGGAGGUUGUGCCCUUGAGGCGUGGCUUCCGGAGCUAACGCGUUAAGUAGACCGCCUGGGGAGUACGGCCGCAAGGUUAAAACUCAAAUGAAUUGACGGGGGCCCGCACAAGCGGUGGAGCAUGUGGUUUAAUUCGAUGCAACGCGAAGAACCUUACCUGGUCUUGACAUCCACAGAACUUUCCAGAGAUGGAUUGGUGCCUUCGGGAACUGUGAGACAGGUGCUGCAUGGCUGUCGUCAGCUCGUGUUGUGAAAUGUUGGGUUAAGUCCCGCAACGAGCGCAACCCUUAUCCUUUGUUGCCAGCGAUUAGGUCGGGAACUCAAAGGAGACUGCCAGUGAUAAACUGGAGGAAGGUGGGGAUGACGUCAAGUCAUCAUGGCCCUUACGACCAGGGCUACACACGUGCUACAAUGGCGCAUACAAAGAGAAGCGACCUCGCGAGAGCAAGCGGACCUCAUAAAGUGCGUCGUAGUCCGGAUUGGAGUCUGCAACUCGACUCCAUGAAGUCGGAAUCGCUAGUAAUCGUGGAUCAGAAUGCCACGGUGAAUACGUUCCCGGGCCUUGUACACACCGCCCGUCACACCAUGGGAGUGGGUUGCAAAAGAAGUAGGUAGCUUAACCUUCGGGAGGGCGCUUACCACUUUGUGAUUCAUGACUGGGGUGAAGUCGUAACAAGGUAACCGUAGGGGAACCUGCGGUUGGAUCACCUCCUUACCU
rnacentral:rRNA from 1 species